rnacentral:rRNA from 1 species
AUUGAACGCUGGCGGCAUGCCUUACACAUGCAAGUCGAACGGCAGCACGGUAGCAAUCCUGGUGGCGAGUGGCGAACGGGUGAGUAAUACAUCGGAACGUCCCCAAUCGUGGGUGAUAACGCAGCGAAAGCUGUGCUCAUACCGCAUACGAUCUACGGAUGUACGCAGGGGACCGCAAGGCCUUGCGAGAAUGGAGGGGUGGAUGGGAGAUUAGGUAGUUGGUGGGGUAAAGGCUCACCAAGCCAACGAUCUGUAGCUGGUCUGAGAGGACGACCAGCCACACUGGGACUGAGACACGGCCCAGACUCCUACGGGAGGCAGCAGUGGGGAAUUUUGGACAAUGGGCGCAAGCCUGAUCCAGCCAUGCCGCGUGCAGGAUGAAGGCCUUCGGGUUGUAAACUGCUUUUGUACGGAACGAAACGCCCUUGUCUAAUAAAGAGGGCUAAUGACGGUACCGUAAGAAUAAGCACCGGCUAACUACGUG